AUGUCCCAUAGUAGGCUGCAGGAUUUGAAAGAAUGUUUGAUAGCGCAGGAAAAACAAAGGAAUUCUACAAAGAGGUUUGAGUGGAUGGAAAUUUUCCUUCAAAAUGUAGUACAAAUGGAUCCUAUGAAAAAAUUCCUUACGAUGUCAAUCCUACGAAUCAAACGAGCAUCACAGGAAAAAUUCCUAAGGGUUCAAAUCCUCCAAAAUUCCCAUGCAAUUCCUUUGAAUCAAAGGAGCCCUCAGCUUUCUCAUCAGGACCAGAAAGCUUGCAUGCAUCCAGGGCCAACUGUGGUGAUGAGAAAGGCAAAAGAAAUGGAACCCACCCUAUUGGGCUUCCUAGAAAGAAGCACUCUCACUUCAAAAAAAAAAGACACACACCAUGUAUAG
rnacentral:rRNA from 1 species